GUGCCAGCAGCCGCGGUAAUACGGAGGGUGCGAGCGUUAAUCGGAAUUACUGGGCGUAAAGCGCGCGUAGGUGGUUUGGUAAGCGAGAUGUGAAAGCCCCGGGCUUAACCUGGGAACGGCAUUUCGAACUGUCAGACUAGAGUGUGGUAGAGGGUAGUGGAAUUUCCUGUGUAGCGGUGAAAUGCGUAGAUAUAGGAAGGAACACCAGUGGCGAAGGCGGCUACCUGGACCAACACUGACACUGAGGUGCGAAAGCGUGGGGAGCAAACAGGAUUAGAUACCCUGGUAGUCCACGCCGUAAACGAUGUCAACUAGCCGUUGGGACUCUUGAAGUCUUAGUGGCGCAGCUAACGCACUAAGUUGACCGCCUGGGGAGUACGGCCGCAAGGUUAAAACUCAAAUGAAUUGACGGGGGCCCGCACAAGCGGUGGAGCAUGUGGUUUAAUUCGACGCAACGCGAAGAACCUUACCUGGCCUUGACAUUCAGAGAACUUUCCAGAGAUGGAUUGGUGCCUUCGGGAACUCUGAGACAGGUGCUGCAUGGCCGUCGUCAGCUCGUGUCGUGAGAUGUUGGGUUAAGUCCCGUAACGAGCGCAACCCCUAUCCUUGGUUGCUAGCAGGUAAAGCUGAGAACUCCAGGGAGACUGCCGGUGACAAACCGGAGGAAGGUGGGGAUGACGUCAGGUCAUCAUGGCCCUUACGGCCAGGGCUACACACGUGCUACAAUGGCGCGUACAGAGGGCUGCCAACUCGCGAGAGUGAGCCAAUCCCUUAAAACGCGUCGUAGUCCGGAUCGGAGUCUGCAACUCGACUCCGUGAAGUCGGAAUCGCUAGUAAUCGCGAAUCAGAAUGUCGCGGUGAAUACGUUCCCGGGCCUUGUACACACCGCCCGUCACACCAUGGGAGUGGAUUGCACCAGAAGUAGUUAGUCUAACCUUCGGGAGGACGAUUACCACGGUGUGGUUCAUGACUGGGGUGAAGUCGUAACAAGGUAAGC
rnacentral:rRNA from 1 species